UACAGAGGGUGCAAGCGUUAAUCGGAAUUACUGGGCGUAAAGCGUGCGUAGACGGUUGCGUAAGUCAGAUGUGAAAGCCCCGGGCUCCAACCUGGGAAUUGCAUUUGAGACUGCGUAGCUAGGGUGCGGAAGAGGGAAGCGGAAUUUCCGGUGUAGCGGUGAAAUGCGUAGAUAUCGGGGAGGAACACCGGUGGCGAAGGCGGGUCUCUGGGCCGAUACUGGACGCUGAGGAGCGAAAGCGUGGGGAGCGAACAGG
rnacentral:rRNA from 1 species